UGGCCUAGGAACAAUGGGUUAACUGCCUUGUUCAGGGGCAGAACUACAGAUUUUUACCUUGUCAGCUCGGGGAUUUUAUCUUGCAACCUUUCGGUGACAAGACCAACGCUCUGACCACUAGGCUACCUGCCGCCCCAAAACAUUUUCAAGAUAGGCCAGUUACACUCAGUCCAUUUUAGAACUUUGUCCAUUGUACACACAUUUGAGCAAUUGUGUUAUUGUUGUGUACCACAUUUUCUCUGUUGUACUGGUUAGUCAGAAGGCCUGAUAAGGAUUGGAUCGUUUUUUCACUGUUUGACUUUCAUUUCCCCAGAUGAAGAGCUCCCUCUUUUUGGUACUAUAUGGUCUCAGUGACCUUGUGGGCAGUCAAAGAAAAACUUCCUGACAUGAGGGACAAGAAAUAGACAAGUGUAAACGGUGAUGGGCUUACAGCUAUAGUCUUUUUGUGUUCAUAUUGGCUUGGCUAUCUCACUUGAUGAAAAGGCACAAUGUAAAAAAAAGUAUUUUGCCCAUCAGUAUUUUGUGAUUGUCUCCUGUUUCACCUUGUAAUUAUAUGCCCUCUUUCUUUGGCCAUGUAGUGGCGUAGAAUGAAACGAUCAUGUAUCAUGUUGUAACACGCUGCAUUACUGACCAUCAUAAAAAGCAUGAUACUGUAGGAUUGAAGUGUUUUCGGCUGCUCAUUUAUUGAGAAAGUAAAACUAUUUAUUCAUAUCUCUAUAAGGACCUGACGAUUCAGAAUGCUGGACCCAGGCUGUGUUGUGAAUUGUAGAGGCCUCAGCCCAGACCAGAAGCAACCCAUACCCCCUAGGCACUUGUGGAGAUCUGAGAGGAUUGGAAAGGUGUGAGCAAUAUGUAGUAAAGAACUUGAGAGUACUCAGUAUAUUAACUGGUCAAGGAUGUGUAUGUUACUUUUUAAAUGUAAUCCGUUGCUAGUUAACUGUCCAAAAUUGUCAUCAGUAACGUAACUAUUGGAUUACCCAGACUCAGUAACGUAAUCUCAUUACUUUGAUAUUAUUUUGAUUAUUUUCCCCUUAAGAGGCAUUAGAAGAAGACAAAUAGAAUCCAUCAAACGCAUUUGGUGUGUCAUCAUAGUGGACUCUAUCUUAUUGUCAGACUCGCACAGGUGGAACAAACUCAGGUGGAACAAAGCGCCUUUUUUAAGUGGUGAAUUGAAUGUCAUUGAGAAAACAGAAAGGUGUCAUAAUGUAUUUUUUUCUGCAAACAUCCUAUCUGUAAUCUGAUUACAAUAUUUCUGCUGGUAACGUAACCGAUGACAGUUUAUUUUUUACAGUGCCUUCAGAAAGUAUUCACACCCCUUGACUUUUUCACUGUCACUGACCUAUACACAAUAUCCCUUAAUGUCAAAGUGGAAUUCUGUUUUUCACAUUUUUUUCAUAUUAAUUAAACAUUUAAAUGUCUCAAGUCAAUAAGUAUUCAACCCCUUUUUAUGGCAAGUUUAAUUAAGUUCAGGACCAAAAAUGUGCUUAACAAGUCACAUAAUAAGUUGCAGGGACUCACUUUGUGUGCAAUUACAGUGUUUAACAUGAUUUUGGAAUGACUCAUCUCUGUACCCCACACAUACAAUUAUCUGUAAGGUCACUCAGUCGAGCAGUGAAUUUCAAACACAGAUUCAACCACAAAGACCAGGGAGUUUCUCCAAUGCCUCGCAAAUAAGGGCACCUAUUGGUAGAUGGGGAAAAAAAAUAAAAAGCAGACAUUGAAUAUCCCUUUGAGCAUAGUGAAGUUAUUAAUUACACUUUUGAUGAUGUAUCAAUACACCGUCACCACCAAGAUAAAGGUGUCCUUCUAACUCAGUUGCCAGAGGGGAAGGAAACUGCUCAGGGAUUUCACCAUGAGUCAUGGUGACUUUAAAAUAGUUACAUAGUUUAAUGGCUGUGAUAGGAGAAAACUGCGGCUUCACAAUACUAACCUAAUUUACAGAGUGAAAAGAAGUAAGCUUGUACAGCAUAAAACAUAUUCAAAAACAUGCAUCCUGUUUGCAACAAGGCACUAAAGUAAUACUGCAAAAAAUGUGGCAAAGCAAUUCACUUUUGUCCUGAAUAUAAGUACCACUCUCCAUAUUUCCAAGCAUAGUGGUGGAUACAUCAUGUUAUGGGUAUGCUUGUAAUCACUUAAGGACUGGGGAGUUUUUCAGGAUAAAAAAGAAACGGAAUGGAGCUAACCGCAAGCAAAAUCUUAAGGGAAAACCUGGUUCGGUCUGUUUUCCACCAGACACUGGGAGAUGAAUUCACCAUAACGUAGAAUACAAAGCCAAAUGUACACUCGAGUUGCUUACCAAGAAGACGGUGAAUGUUCCUGAGUGGCUGAGUUAAAGUUUUGACUUAAAUCUGCUUGAAAAUCUAUGGCAAGACCUGAAAAUGGUUGUCUAGCAAUGAUCAACAACCAAUUUGACAGAGCUUGAAGAAUUUUUAAAUGAAUAUUGGGUAAAUGUUGCACAAUCCAGGCAUGGAAAGCUCUUAGAUUUACCCAGAAAUAUACUUAUCUAAUCAAUUGUAAUCCCUCUUUGUAACACAACAAAUGAAUAAGUCAAGGGGUAUGAAUACUUUCUGAAGGCACUCUAACUGAUUGCAUGUAAUCAGUUACUCCCCAACCCUGUGAAUGGUGCAUUGUAAAGACCUCUGCACACUACAAAUGGGGUACAAUUUGGGAUGCAGGCUUGCAGUGUGGUUAAAGGAAGUCUCCAGACUCUCCUCUGUCCUGCUGACUCUGAUCCUGUAUGUCAGCACAGGCCUCCCUUUUUGGAGAAGCACCCCAUCUCUUCGGUAUGGCAUUACCUCCAGAGCUGCUGAAAUCUACUAGGAGCUACACUGCUACAAGGAGUGACAGGGCUAUUCAAUUCUGGUCCUGGAGGGCCAAAACAUUUCCGUUUUUUUCUUUCUACCUCGAAGCUAAUUUCACUGAAUUAGUCCCUUAUUAGAAGGAGAGGAUGAACAUCAGAAGUGUUUCAGCCCUCCAGGACCGGAAUUGAAUACAAGCCCUGCGUGUAGCUUCUAAUAAACAAAGAGUGCCGGGCUACACAAUGGAUAGUUGAUACUCCUACUGCUCGGUGGUUCUGUGGGUCUGUCUAACUGCUUUGUGGUUGGUUGAGAAAAUGGGUGUGUGCCCAUGUCAUACAGGCAUUUGGGCUGGUUAAAUAAAGUGUUGUGUCUGUCUUAUUUGUUUCCCCACAGCUGUCACACAAGAGAAUCAUCAUAGACAUUUUGUUUCAUUCAAGUCACCCUCCCUCCUUUAGGCAUCCAUUUAGUCGCUCUCUCUCUCCCUUAUCCCUCCCAUCUGUUACCAUCGCCACGCUCUUGCUCUCUCUCGCUUGCUCUCUCUUUCAUGCGCUCUCCAUCCCUCUCUCUCUGUUUCACAGUCAUUCGCAUGAUCAUACCACACUGCCAGCUGAGUUAUAACUUGAACAAUUCUUUGUUAGUUUUCAAUUGUACAAUUUAAUCUCCCCAUAUAUAAAAACCACGAAAGACUGCCGGAAAGGCUUGAACGCAAGAUUGUCAUUUUUAUAACUCACACGGUGAAGAACGUAGCCUGUAGCCUACUGCAGGAUUUCCCAGACCUUUUCAAAUUCGGCACACAGAAAUUAGAGGUCAAAAAGAAUGGCACCGAUUGGCUCAUAGAUGGUGCCAUUAUAAGAAGUUUCACUUAAAUCAUCAUGUCCGCCGCCCUACUUGACCUACAAACUUGAACAUUUGUAUGUAGGUGUCUUUCCUCCUGCUGAACAAAUUUGCCUGAAGGACCCAUAAGGUUGACAGAAUAGAUGAUUGAUAAAUAAGGACAUCUGAUUGUAUGUGUCCAUGUCAAUCCUUUUUAAAUCCACGUCUCAAUGGCCUAUCAACUUGAAACGUGUUAGGGUCAUCAGACAUUACCAUAAUGAACCAUGUUAAGUUUGGCAUUGAUAUCUUAAAAAAUAAGGACACUAUUAACAAUUCACGUUUUGACUGUAACGCUAAUGCUUAAAAGGUCCUGAACAGUGGAAAUCAUGUUUCUCAUGAAAUCGAAUGAUAUUUGAAUGAAACCAGUUCAAAGUAGGGUAACUCAAGUAUAACAAAUUUCUGUAGCUGGUACAUUGAUAAAGUUUGAUAAUAAAGUGAUGUGUUCCCUCCCCCUGUGUCAAACACUUCAGGGGGCAGGCAAUACCAAGGAUUACACUAAUGGUAGGGUCUUAUCAUAUUUACUUAUUUAAAUAUGUACCACCUUAAAACUGUCAUCCCAUGCUCCUACACCUUGCUUUAGCUUUAUUUACAAACCGUAAGAUAGCUACUAGGAGAACGUUGGACCAAAGAUAUUGGUAACCAUUCAUCUGUGGUGUGACUGAUAGCUAGCAAGCUACUUACCAGCAUGCCGGCAAAAGCACUCUGUGUUGUGGCUGGGUAUCAUGGUGUUAAUUUAACGUUACACAAUUUUCCGAAGAAUGAAGACAUCCGACAGCAGUGGCUGCUAUUUAUUUUGGUGGACAGGCUGCACCGAAAAUUACAAUCAUGUUACGCGUCUGCAGUGCACAUUCCGUGCCAAGUUGCUUUAUUGGGGAGAACAUUCGAUGGGUCUUGCUAGGAAGCUAAUCCGGAAGACGCCUUCAUUAAUAGUGCAUGUAAGUAUCAGUGUUUGAUGAGUCUGACACAGUAGCCAACAGUUUGGGGUAAUCAGGGGGGCUAAAGUUAGGUAAUGCAACUGUGGCUGCUUUGACUGUAAAAGUUCUGUAACAUCUGAUAGUCACUAUAUGGUUUUUGUUCUUCCAUCCCUAAGCCCCCUACAUUGAGUCUGAGAACUUCCAGCACACAGCUGGAACGAAGGAAUGUUAUCCACAAAAGGAGAUGUGAAACAUUACAGGCUGCGUAGACUGGCUCCUGGAUCUCCUCUUCAACAUGGUCACCCUUGAACCAGUGCCGUAUGUGGGGAAGCUGUGCAAGCUGUCCAUCCCAGUGUGAGAGGCCUGACAAGGAGCAGGCCAUAGCUAGAUUUUUCUUACCCUUCUAUCUUGGGGGUGACUGAAGCCUGCUUGAUUGAGGCAGGUCCUCAAUCUCGCUGUCCUCCCCAUGAAUUUCUGUAGUUGGUUGCAUUUCCUAAAGCCUAAAUAAUUCACUGUUACGUAAAUACAGUAUAUAACAUUUUGUUUCAUUGUAUUGUUUUUUUCAAGAGUUUGGACAGGAGAUGAAUGUUACAAAUUGUACGAAUCAAUGGGUCCUGCAUACUGCAGGGUGGCUGGGUUUCUAUAUUAGGCUUAUGGCUCUAAUUGUUUAUUUUUUUAUUGUGUCAAAUGGUGUCUCACCAUUAUUUCUCACCUUUAUUUUUCAUAAGUGUUCAUGUUGAUCAAUAUUUUGGCUAAGCUGGCCUUUAGUAAAUUAUCAAAUAAAUGUCUGCUCAAUGCAUACAACUCUGAACAUAUUGUCAUGUAUAAUGCAGAGGGAACCAAUAAAUUGUCCAGUACAGUUAUUGUA